UACGGGGGGUGCGAGCGUUGUCCGGAAUCACUGGGCGUAAAGCGCGCGCAGGCGGUUCUUCAAGUCAGUGGUGAAAGCCCGGAGCUCAACUCCGGAAUUGCCAUUGAAACUGUAGAACUUGAGGAUGAGAGAGGUGAGUGGAAUUCCCAGUGUAGAGGUGAAAUUCGUAGAUAUUGGGAAGAACACCGGUGGCGAAGGCGGCUCACUGGCUCAUUUCUGACGCUCAGGCGCGACAGCGUGGGGAUCAAACAGG
rnacentral:rRNA from 1 species